CGAUUUAAAGUCAUUACUUAUCAUCACAAAGAUAUUUAUUUUGCUAAAAUGGAUUAAAGUAUAUCUUUUAAUAUAAGAGAGAAUGAAAGUAUAAUUCAAACUCAAUCCUUUCAAAGAAGAGGAAUGUAAUUUAUUAAACAAAAUAUAAAACUGUGAAAUAAAUCAUAAAAGCAACAACAUAAUUUUUUUAAUUAACUUUUAGGGCUUCUUCACACAUUCAACUGCCACUAAUAUUGUGCACUGUGGAUGUGAUCUUCCCGUAACAUGCACAAAUCCCUACUCCGGUCAUUGGAUUCACAAACAGAUUGCAACAUCGUCAGGUUCCUUACUAAUACAUUCUUACUAAAAUGAUUUGAGGACUAAAAUGAAUAAUAAAAAAUAUAAAAAAGACACUUGUGGAUCUGAUUGCAAUUUCGAUACAUUCAGGUGUUGGGUCACGAGAUGAUAGCCAAAGUCUUACCCAAAAUCUUAAAGUGUUAAGUUUAUGGGUCAUCUCAAUUUUAAAAUGUUCGUCCGAGACAAAUGUGAUGUUCAGAUACAUUUCCAAGGACUAAAAUGAUGGUUUUCCAAAAUUUAAACCAAAGAAUUAUUAGGAAUUUAAAGGACAAACCACCAUUCGUCCCAAAAUGUAUCAAAUUGCAAAUACAUUCUUACUAAAAUGAUUUGAGGACUAAAAUGAAUAAUAAAAAAUAUAAAAAAGACACUUGUGGAUCUGAUUGCAAUUUCGAUACAUUCAGGUGUUGGGUCACGAGAUGAUAGCCGGAGGAUCAUCCAUAUUGGGUUUAAGAAUAAUUUCACAAGUGAGUUGGAAAUCACACUCACCAAAGUCUUACCCAAAAUCUUAAAGUGUUAAGUUUAUGGGUCAUCUCAAUUUUAAAAUGUUCGUCCGAGACAAAUGUGAUGUUCAGAUACAUUUCCAAGGACUAAAAUGAUGGUUUUCCAAAAUUUAAACCAAAGAAUUAUUAGGAAUUUCAACAAGUUUAGGUCAUCCAAAUAUUUUCUGUCAUAACUUUUGAUUCCAAUUUUUAGUCAACUCAUGUAUACUUUAAUAUUUUUGAAUGAAUUUUUGUAUUCAUGUUUAUAAUAAUUAUAUAAAAAUCUCUCCCACAAACAUCCGAACUUCUUAAAUCAUAUGAAUUAAAUAUGAUUUUUUAAGUGCCAGAAACUUAAAAAUUUAUAUCUAGUUCAUCCCUUGUUAUAAA
rnacentral:lncRNA from 1 species